rnacentral:rRNA from 1 species
GGUCGACGAUUGAGAGUUUGAUCCUGGCUCAGGAUGAACGCUGGCGGCGUGCCUAAUACAUGCAAGUCGAGCGGGGCCCAACCCUUCGGGGUGAAGGCCCAGCGGCGAACGGGUGAGUAACACGUGGGCAACCUGCCCGCAAGACCGGGAUAACUCCGGGAAACCGGAGCUAAUACCGGAUAAUCCUUUUCUCCUCCUGGGGAAGAGGUGAAAGACGGCUUUGGCUGUCACUUGCGGAUGGGCCCGCGGCGCAUUAGCUGGUUGGUGAGGUAACGGCUCACCAAGGCGACGAUGCGUAGCCGACCUGAGAGGGUGAUCGGCCACACUGGGACUGAGACACGGCCCAGACUCCUACGGGAGGCAGCAGUAGGGAAUUUUCCGCAAUGGGCGAAAGCCUGACGGAGCAACGCCGCGUGAGUGAGGACGGCCUUCGGGUUGUAAAACUCUGUUCUUGAGGAAGAAUCCCGUUGAUGUGAACAGCAUCGAUGGUUGACGGUACUCAAGGAGAAAGCCCCGGCUAACUACGUGCCAGCAGCCGCGGUAAUACGUAGGGGGCAAGCGUUAUCCGGAAUUAUUGGGCGUAAAGCGCGCGCAGGCGGUAGGUUAAGUCAGGUGUGAAAGGCUGCGGCUCAACCGCAGAGCGGCAUCUGAAACUGGUCGACUUUGAGUGCAGGAGAGGGGAGCGGAAUUCCCGGUGUAGCGGUGGAAUGCGUAGAGAUCGGGAGGAACACCAGUGGCGAAGGCGGCUCUCUGGCCUGUAACUGACGCUGAGGCGCGAAAGCGUGGGUAGCAAACAGGAUUAGAUACCCUGGUAGUCCACGCCGUAAACGAUGAGUGCUAGGUGUUGGGGGCUACGCCCCUCAGUGCCGAAGGCAACCCAUUAAGCACUCCGCCUGGGGAGUACGGCCGCAAGGCUGAAACUCAAAGGAAUUGACGGGGGCCCGCACAAGCGGUGGAGCAUGUGGUUUAAUUCGAAGCAACGCGAAGAACCUUACCAGGGCUUGACAUCCCGCUGACACCUUCAGAGAUGAAGGGUUCCUUCGGGACAGCGGAGACAGGUGGUGCAUGGUUGUCGUCAGCUCGUGUCGUGAGAUGUUGGGUUCAGUCCCGCAACGAGCGCAACCCCUGUUAUCAGUUGCCAGCGGUUCGGCCGGGGACUCUGAUAAGACUGCCCAGAUCAACUGGGAGGAAGGUGGGGACGACGUCAAGUCAGUAUGGCCUUUAUGCCUAGGGCUGCACACGUACUACAAUGCCCAGUACAAUGUGAUCCGAAACCGCGAGGUGGAGGUAAUCCCCAAAAUUGGGCUCAGUUCGGAUUGAAGGCUGCAACUCGCCUUCAUGAAGUCGGAAUCGCUAGUAAUGGCGCAUCAGCUACGGCGCCGUGAAUACGUUCCCGGGUCUUGUACACACCGCCCGUCACAUCAUGGAAGCCGGCAGCGCCCGAAGUGUCCGCGCCAACCUAUUGGAAGCAGGGCCCUAAGGUGAAGCUGGUAACCGGGAUGAAGUCGUAACAAGGUAGCCGUAAAUCUCUAGAGGAUCCC